UGCCGUGAGGGAGGGCGAUCGUUCAUUUUCACCGUGAAAAACUUGAUUUUCAUCGUCAAAUCGAAGAUUAAGUGGUCGAUUUGUGCGUGGGUGCUUGAUUUUCGUGGGAAGGAAAGAGGUUUUCUUCAUUUCAGACAUUUCUUCUUCGUAAGGUAUGAAAUCUCAUGUUCUUACCAUGUAUUCUUAAUUUUUUACCGUAUAAUCGUAGAUUUGAAGACUUUGAGUGUUUUUCAUUAAGUUUACCAUAGGAUUUCGUUUUUUUUUUUGAAGAUAUGGAUCCUACAUGGCAAUGGUGCGAAAGGGUGAAGGAGAAUAACCGUUUGAAACUCAAAUGUGGCUUCUGUGGGAAUACACUUUUAGGAGGGAUUAUUAGAAUGAAACACCAUUUGGCAGGGACCUCCAAAGAUGCGUCUCCUUGUGUUGGAGGACCAAACAAACCUUUGCCUCCAUUUGUGCGUCAACAAUGUUUAGAUAUGCUUCAUGCUUUACGUCAAAAGAGAAUACAAAAAGAAAUUGAAGAUGCAGAUGUAGGCUAUAAUGUGCCUUUGGAAGAUGAAGAAGAAGAGGAAGAAGCUUAUGAAUGUGAUGAUGAAGACGAUAGCAGUCUAAGAACAGAUUUGGAAACCUCAAGAGGUAGAGAUCGUAGAGGAAAAAGGAUUAUGUAUGAAGGAGGUCGAUCUGGCAUAAUGGGAAGGAAGAGGAGAGGCACAACAGAUGUUAGGGCCAGGCAUGGUAUGCGACAACCUAGUGGUAGAGUUCCUACUGGUAGGUCUAGUGUUGGCUCUAUUAAGAGUUUUUUCCCUUCAUAUACCAGCCCAGGUGGUCAGCCGCAGAUUCGUGCUGCUAUGACAUCUAAAGAUAUGCUAUAUCAUGCACAAAAGCAGGUAAGGAAAUGGUUUUAUGAUGCAUGUAUUCCAUUCAAUGCAGCUAAUUCUCUUCAAUUCCAAGCCAUGGCAGAUGCAAUUGCUUCUACAGGCCCCAGAUUCAAAAUGCCAUCAUAUCAUCAGUUGAGGGGCAAAAUUCUUCAGGAUACAGUCAAAGAAGUGUUUGAGCAUUGCGAUGAGUUGAAAUUAUGUUGGAAGGAAACAGGUUGCUCCAUUAUGUCAGAUGGUUGGACUGAUACAAAGUCAAGAACACUUGUAAAUUUUCUUGUUUAUUGCCCUAAAGGUACAAUGUUCUUGAAAUCUCUUGACUUGUCUGAUGUUCCUAAGACUGUUGAGAUUUUAUUCAAUGUUUUUGAUAAUGUCGUACAAGAAGUUGGACCUGCAAACAUUGGACCUGCAAACAUUGUACAGUUUAUUACAGAUAAUGCUGCAAAUUAUAGAGCUGCAGGAGAUUUAUUAUUUCAAAAGUAUAGAACAUUUUAUUGGAGUCCAUGUGCCACUCAUUGUGUUAAUCUAAUGCUUCAAGAUCUUAAUGAGAUGCAUGAUAUGAAAUCAGCCAUUGACCAAUGUCAAGAGGUAACAAAAUUUAUCUAUAAUCAUGCAUAUGUAUUGAGUUUGAUGAGAAAAUUUACAAAAGGAGUUGAAUUAAUACGAACUGUACAAACUAGAUUUGUCACAAAUGUAUUGACUGUGCAGAGUGUGGUGAAACAAAGAACUCCUUCGAGACAGAUGUUUGCUAGUGAAGAAUGAGCUGCAUAUCCACAUGCUCAUAAAAGAAAUGCUUCUUUAGUUGUGGAUAUUAUAUUCAAUAACGUAUUUUGGGAAUCAUGUGUGAAGCUAUUGAAGGUUUGUGUUCCAUUAGUUAAGGUUCUCAGGUUGGCUGACAGCGAGGACAAACCUUCUAUAGGGUACUUAUAUGAGGCUAUGGACAAAGCAAAAGAGGCAAUUCGAGACAACUUAAAGGAAAAGAAAAAGUUAUAUAUGCCCAUAUGGAAGAUUAUAGAUAAAAGGUGGACUGGACAGCUUCAUCAACCUCUUCAUGUAGCAGCUUAUUAUCUAAAUCCUGCAAUUAGAUUUUCUCCUACAUUUAAGAAGGACAGAGAAGUCAUGCAUGGUUUGUUAGAUUGUAUUAAUGUGUUAGUGGAAUAUUCUACAGAACAAGAUGCUGUGCACAAUGAGUUGGAUCUAUAUGAUAGUUGUUUUCGGAACAUGGGACUACCUGCCGCCGUUCGAGCCAGGACAAUGAUGCGUCCAGAUUUGUGGUGGAAUAGGUAUGAGUUUGAUUGUCCAAACCUAGCACGUUUUGCAGUCAAAGUCCUCAGCCAGACAUGCAGUGCUAGUGGAUGCGAAAGGAACUGGAGUGUGUUCCAACAUAUCCAUAGCAAAAAAAGGAAUAGGCUCGAACAUAAAAGGUUGAAUGACCCUGUCUUUGUUCGAUAUAAUAUGAGGUUGAAACAAAGAGAAUUAGAAAAAUCAUUAGCAAGGAAGCACACAUCUCAGUUCGAUCCUAUCAGCUUGGAAAAUUUUGACGAUCUAGAGCCAUGGAUUGAAGAAGAACCAGCUACAAUAUUUGAUGAUGAAGAUCUUGAAUGCUUCAACCUUGAAGUUGAAGCAACAGAAGGCUUUGUUGAUGAAGGAGAGUCUGCUACUGCUGGUGCUGGUGCUGAAUAUGUUGGUGAAGAUCUUCCAAUUCUUGACGAUGAAGAAGAAGAAGAAUAUGAAGAUGAAGAUGAUGAAGAUUAUGAAUGAUGAAUCAUGAAUGAGAGUCAAGUCAAGAGUGCUUUCAUUUUAUAUGUAUCAAAAACUUAAGAGUUAUGAAUCUAUGGUUGUUGAACACUUGAUUGAAUGUUUUAUCAUUUAUGACUUUAUCACUUUAUGGCUUAUGGCCUUAUGCUUUGUUGAAUGAUAUUGUAUUAUUGUUAUGAAUUUUGAUGUUUAUGAAUGAUGAACGCGUAAGUUUAUAGCAAUAAUAAGUCUAUC